rnacentral:rRNA from 1 species
UACGAAGGGGGCUAGCGUUGUUCGGAAUUACUGGGCGUAAAGCGCACGUAGGCGGAUAUUUAAGUCAGGGGUGAAAUCCCAGAGCUCAACUCUGGAACUGCCUCUGAUACUGGGUAUCUUGAAUAUGGAAGAGGUGAGUGGAAUUGCGAGUGUAGAGGUGAAAUUCGUAGAUAUUCGCAGGAACACCAGUGGCGAAGGCGGCUCACUGGUCCAUAACUGACGCUGAGGUGCGAAAGCGUGGGGAGCAAACAGG